rnacentral:lncRNA from 1 species
UCAUCUCACGCGCGACGAUGGAUUCCUUGAUGGGCUGGAAUUUGAAGUCGUCGAGGUUGUAGGGGGUGGAGGCCAUGGCGACGGCGAGGUUCUUGGGGGUGGAUUUGAUGGGCUGGGCGGCGCGUGUGGGCACGACGGCGGCGCCGUGGAAGGUGGACUUGUUGUCGAAGAAGGAGGUCUUGGUGAGGGAGGAUCUGAGGGUUGUAGCCAUGGCUGCCAUUGUUGCAGACUGGUUUUCUUUUCGUUUCUUUUGUUUUCCGGUGGGUGGGGUGGUUGUGAUCGGAGGAGAGUG